AUUGAACGCUGGCGGCAGGCCUAACACAUGCAAGUCGAGCGAGCAACGGACGGGUGCGGACUGUAUGGUGACAGCCGGAUAGAGAGGGAUAAGUACUGGAAACGGUAGCUAAUCCCGCAUCCUAUCGGAUCACCCAUAUGGGAUUUGCUAGUAUGUGAGGUAAUGGCUCACCUAGGCGACGAUCCGUAGCCGAUCGGAGAGGAUGAUCAGCCACACUGGGACUGAGACACGGCCCAGACGCCGACGGAGGCAGCAGUGGGGAAUAUUGGACAAUGGUCGCAAGUCUGAUGCAGCAAUGCCGCGUGGAUGAAGAAGGCCUUAGGGUUGUAAAGUACUUUCAGUCGGGAGGCGUUACCGACAGAGGAAGCACCGGCUAACUCCGUGCCAGCAGCCGCGGUAAUUC
rnacentral:rRNA from 1 species